CCUACGGGAGGCAGCAGUGAGGAAUAUUGGUCAAUGGACGAGAUUCUGAACCAGCCAUGCAGCGCGAAGGAUGACUGCUCUAUGAGUUGUAAACUUCUUUUGUAUGGGAGUAAAAUGUUCCACGUGUGGGAUUUUGUAAGUACCGUAUGAAUAAGGAUCGGCUAACUCCGUGCCAGCAGCCGCGGUAAUACGGAGGAUCCGAGCGUUAUCCGGAUUUAUUGGGUUUAAAGGGAGCGUAGGUUGAUUUUUAAGUCAGUUGUGAAAGUUUGCGGCUCAACCGUAAGAUUGCAGUUGAUACUGGAAGUCUUGAGUACAGUAGAGGUGGGCGGAAUGCGUGGUGUAGCGGUGAAAUGCUUAGAUAUCACGAAGAACUCCGAUUGCGAAGGCAGCUCACUGGACCGCAACUGACACUGAGGCUCGAAAGUGUGGGUAUCAAACAGGAUUAGAUACCCCAGUAGUC
rnacentral:rRNA from 1 species